GGACCACAUAGUAAACUAUGACUUUUUAGUCAAAUUUUGGACCACAUCAUUUGAAGCACAGAGGACAAACAACUGGAUUUGCAAAAACAAACAUUUUAAUUGUGUGAGUGCACAUUUCCGGACAUAUUUCGGCAAUGCACAUAUAAAUAAAUUACAUCUCAAUAAAUUUUGAAAACACAUAAGUACAGAUGGAAUUUAAGGCAUAACUUAAGUCCCUAUAUAACAAAAAUAUACCUUUAGCUUUAGGUUGUACAACUUCACUUUCAGAAUCAGUUCCUUGGGCCUAAACCUCACUCAAAACAGUAAAGUCACAAGAUUAAACAGAGAAUCAAAACUAAUCAGCAAACACAAACUUCUCAAAGGUGAGCAGUGCUGGCACAGCAGCUUUCGGCAUUCAAAGAAAAAUCUUUGGCAGUCUGUUUAAGUGAAGAAAAAUGCUUCACCACAGUUUUUAAAUGAUCUUUUAAAAAGAUGUAAAUACCACAUUUUUGUUGCUGAUGUGCCUGUCCAUGUCUACUGCUAGGAGAUUACAGUCUGUGCUUGUGAGUGUAUGUGAGUUUAAAUGAAUGAAAGUCAGCAUUUCAACAUGCUCAGAAUGCUGGCCCAGUGCUUUGAUGCAUUAUUUCCCACUGCCGAAAACAGUUGCUCUUUCAUCGUUGAGGUCGCAGGAAGACACAUCCACAACAUUGCCAAAAUUGCUAGCAUUGGAUAGUGGGCUGCUGCUUGUUUUGUCCUACUUUGUUUUGGCAUUACCGCCACUUGUCCUCUGACUACCAGACAGAGCACUGAGUUUUGCACAAACGCCUCUUCACUGCAAAGCAUUUUUUCCUCGAGGAUGUCCAAAAUCCUGCAAAAAUGUUAUAAUAUGUUGUCCAAAAUAUGCCAAAAAUGUCCUUGCAGUGACUCCAGUGAUGUGUUUCUUGUUCAGGACUUGGUGAGGAUCAGCAGUAAGACUGGCAGCAGCAGCAUGAAACUGAAAAUCAUUCCCAAGGUGAAGAAGGAGAGAGAGAAGCUCCACAAGCAGAAGUCCAACAGCUCUCUCUCAGGAACAUGGGAAGUCAAAGGUGGCGUUGGUGAAGCAGAUUCCUCGGGUAAUUGAUGUCCUGCCUCCUGUUCUCCUGAGAAACCCAGGGGUGAGGAGCAUCUCCUCCCUUCUGACCUCUGACCUCGAUGCUCAGUGGCCGUGAGGAGGAAAAGGAAAACUAUGUCCUUUUUAUUUUGCCAUUUUUCCCGGGUGUUGUUGAACUUUCUUUGAUGGGCCUUGGCUUUGCACAGCAUCGCUUCACCAUCUGCGUUUUGGUUCUGUCGAACCUGGUUGAGCUAGGAAGUGGGCGUGGCUAAAAGCAAAUCAAGCAGCGGGACGAAGGAGGCGUGGAGCGACGGCACUAACUCUUUCGUUGACAAUGUUUACGUGGCGCUCUUUGCAUGUCGAGUGCAGCCAUCCUGUUUUAUAUCUAAAUUAUAUUGCAAUUCUUUUGUUACUUUAAUUGUUUUUUUUCGGAAAAUUAUGAAUAUACGUUUAAAGGAAACGUUUUUUUUUUAAAUCUUUCUUAAGAGUAUUUAUUCGUUGUUGCUACUGCCAUGAGAACUUCAACGGCAACGAAACGGAACAAACUGAAACAUCUCAAACUUAUCGUCUACUGAACUUCUCUUAAAUGUUGCAAAAAAUAUACAGAGGAAUGUAUUUGUGUGGACUUGUAUUUACCUGAUGAAAAAAAACAAACAAACAAAAAAAGCUGAUGUUCUAAUGAUAAUACAAAUAUGAUUUCACAAAAGUUUUAUUGUUGUGGUUCUAAAGUGGUUGUUAGUCGGCUGUCGUGUGACUAUGCAGCGAAAACUAUUGUUCUUGACGAUGAGUCAUUUCAUCUGUAUUCCAGUGAAGAGAUCCGACUGCUGGAUUUAAAAAAAAAAAGUAAAAAAGAUUAUAUGGGUAUAUAUAUAUGUAUACAUAUAUAUAUACACACGGUACAUCUGUUGGAUCUUAAAAAUGUGACUAAGUGGGAGGAGUUUGUUCAUUUCACUUAUUUUUCAGGAUCAUUUCAAGGUGAAAUGACUCAGAUUUUAGUCCGUUUACAGAAGAAGCAUCAACAAAACUUUGCAGCUACACAGAAUAUUAAUCUUCAUUUGCCAUAUUUUUUGAUUGUAUUUGUAUAUUAUAAGAAUAAGAGUAGGUGGAUAUUAGAUCAUUAUUAUUAUUUUUGCCUCGUCUGUGGUUUAAAAAGCUUUUAUUAUAAUUAUGACAAAUAUAUAUAUUAUAUCUAUUUUUUUGUAUAUCUUAUUUUCACAAUGCUAAUCUGUGAAGCUGCUCUGGCUUUGCUGCGCCCACCCCCAACAAACUCCUGAGCCACUGUGUUUAUAAUCCAAGCCAAUUACUGCUGAUCUGUGUCCCUGCAUGAAAACUUCACCCUCUAGCGCCUCACAGUGGCUGCUGCGUGAAUUUUGCCUCAUUGGAGGUUUUUUUUCCCACCUUUUUAUGUUUUUUUUUUUUUUUUUUAAGAUUUUCUAAUGUACUCAUUGGAAAGUUAAUCAAUUAACAAAAAGAAAACACUGGAGAAAAACUAAAUAAUUAUAUAUAUAUAAAUAUACUGUAUAAUGUGACCUUACUGCAGCUAAAACAGAACAUUGAAAUAUCCUUGCGUACCUUUGGACGUAGCUAGAAAACGUUGACAAGUUCUGUCCAGGUUUUACUGAAAUUAUCCUUUACAACUUCCCACUUCCCACUUUUUGCGGCAUUUGUUCAAGAUAAAUUACAACAUUUGCAUAUUUUAUGGUGGUUUUUUUUUUGCCCCUAGUUAAGAGAGGAAACUAAAAAAACGUCAAUGGCCUAGCAAAAAAAGGAAGCUAGCAACAGUUAGUUAGCAAGAAAAAAACGUUUUUGUUAGCCAUCUUAUAUAUAGUACCUUUUGUUGAGGUUUGGACGUGACAUUUGCGUUUUUUUGCCCAGAGUUAAGAGAAAAAUAGCCUAGCAAAGAAGUAGGCUAGCAACAGUGAACAAAGAAAAGGGUUUUAUUAGCCAAAGUUUCAUUAAAAUAUUUUUUUUAACUGUCAAACCAUGGCUAUCUUUAACAUAAGCUAGGCUAAACGUGUUGUGAAGCUAAUUUGUGAACUGAAUGGACAAAAAAUAUGUUUAGGUUUGUUUCUUUAUUGAUUCUGUUUGGUUAUUACAGUAAAAUUUAUAUAUCCUCUAUUUUAAUUCAGUCACAAGUUAGAACGCCAUAAAAUACAUGCUACAAAUGUUUACACCCAGUUAGCCGUGCAGGGGAUUACGGCUUAUACAAAAGCUGGUACAAACUGUUAAAAAUAAUACGACUCAGUUUUGGUGACAUGUAAAGGGUCAUUCCACUGAUUCUUCAAAUCACGUCCACUUAAUAAUUGAUUUUCUCUGUUAUUCAUACUUUUUUUAAAUCAUGGGCGGAGCUACUGUGAGGCAUUUGUACGUGUUUAGAUCUGGUAGGAUUGUGCUACUGUAUCCAUAGUGUGCCAGCUUUACGCUCUACACCUUAGAGGCUUUAGUGGUGUCGUGCCAAGUUUAUACAGAGUUUAGUGGAUUACGAGACAUACAGGUGUGUGUGAGAGUGUGUGAGCUACUUGCGCUUCAGAUGCAAAAGUCGUAUGUCGUACAUUUCAAAGUUUACUGUAUCUUGCCUUGCACUUUACAAAGACGCAAACUUAACGGGAGGGAAAGUACAUUUUACUGUAUGUGUGUGUGAAUCACGUGGUUUACGAGAGUUUAUUUUUUAUUGAUUUAAUGACGAAAACCUUUAUUUAUGUCCAACAUACACAGAUGAGUGUGUGGGUGAAAUGUAAUAUAUCUAAUCAAAAGGUAACAUUCUGCCAUUGAACACCUGUACGACUGUGCCGUUCCACUGCCACAUCACUGUCUCUGAAAAGUCUUUCGAUUAGGAUCAAGAAAAUGACUUGAUAAAAUUAUUCCAACUUUAAGCCAAAGUUAGUGAAAUUGUCCAGUGUUAUUAUUUAAAAAAAAUAAAUAAAUAAAGAUGUCAUGUACAGUCUGUAUGUACUGAAUUUUUUCUGUAUCGGUUUUGAUUUCGUUGGUAAUUUGUUAUGCUAAAAACUUCAAAUGCAAAUGUUUGGGGAACAGUCUUUUGUGGUCAAAGUUACUUUAACUAGUUUAAAUGUUAACUUGACUCAUGAUUUUUUCUUUUCAGAAAAACAUAAUUUGUAGUUUUCAACGGGGAAAAAGACACUUUCGACUGAGACUCUUUCAGGGAAGAAACUGAAACAACAUUGAUGACUUCAUGAAUCCUCACCCCCUGAUGUGAAACAGACUGUGUGGACAGUGUUGGACUCGAUGUUGCACGAGGUGUUUUAUUGUGUCAUUGUGUGCAGUGUGUAACGACGACGACGUCAGCUCAAACUUUUGGAGAUUAAAUGAAUCAUUGAAGUGUGAA